ACGGAGGGGGCUAGCGUUGUUCGGAAUUACUGGGCGUAAAGCGCACGUAGGCGGCUUUGUAAGUUAGAGGUGAAAGCCCAGGGCUCAACCCUGGAAUUGCCUUUAAGACUGCAUCGCUUGAACAUCGGAGAGGUAAGUGGAAUUCCGAGUGUAGAGGUGAAAUUCGUAGAUAUUGGGAGGAACACCAGUGGCGAAGGCGGCUCACUGGACUGGUACUGACGCUGAGGCGCGAAAGCGUGGGGAGCAAACAGGA
rnacentral:rRNA from 1 species